rnacentral:rRNA from 1 species
UACAGAGGUCCCAAGCGUUGUUCGGAUUCAUUGGGCGUAAAGCGCGCGUAGGCGGCCUUUCAAGUUGGGUGUGAAAGCCCGGGGCUUAACCCCGGAAAUGCGCCCAAGACUGUUAGGCUGGAGUCCGAGAGAGGUGAGUGGAACUCCCAGUGUAGAGGUGAAAUUCGUAGAUAUUGGGAAGAACACCGGUGGCGAAGGCGGCUCACUGGAUCGGUACUGACGCUGAGGCGCGAAAGCGUGGGGAGCAAACAGG